rnacentral:hammerhead_ribozyme from 1 species
AUCCAGCUGACGAGCCCCGAAUAGGACGAAGUGGCCCACGUCCUGGAU